AACGAACGCUGGCGGCAUGCCUAACACAUGCAAGUCGAACGAGACCUUCGGGUCUAGUGGCGCACGGGUGCGUAACGCGUGGGAACCUGCCCUUAGGUUCGGAAUAACUCCCCGAAAGGGGUGCUAAUACCGGAUAAUGUCUUCGGACCAAAGAUUUAUCGCCUUUGGAUGGGCCCGCGUUGGAUUAGCUAGUUGGUAGGGUAAAAGCCUACCAAGGCGACGAUCCAUAGCUGGUCUGAGAGGAUGAUCAGCCACACUGGGACUGAGACACGGCCCAGAAUGCUACGGGAGGCAGCAGUGGGGAAUAUUGGACAAUGGGCGAAAGCCUGAUCCAGCAAUGCCGCGUGAGUGAUGAAGGCCUUAGGGUUGUAAAGCUCUUUUACCCGGGAUGAUAAUGACAGUACCGGGAGAAUAAGCUCCGGCUAACUCCGUG
rnacentral:rRNA from 1 species